rnacentral:rRNA from 1 species
CUUACCAUGCAGUCGAACGCUGAAGCUUGGUGCUUGCACUGGGUGGAUGAGUGGCGAACGGGUGAGUAAUACGUGAGUAACCUGCCCUUGACUCUGGGAUAAGCCUGGGAAACUGGGUCUAAUACUGGAUAUGACAUGUCACCGCAUGGUGGUGUGUGGAAAGGGUUUUACUGGUUUUGGAUGGGCUCACGGCCUAUCAGCUUGUUGGUGGGGUAAUGGCUCACCAAGGCGACGACGGGUAGCCGGCCUGAGAGGGUGACCGGCCACACUGGGACUGAGACACGGCCCAGACUCCUACGGGAGGCAGCAGUGGGGAAUAUUGCACAAUGGGCGGAAGCCUGAUGCAGCGACGCCGCGUGAGGGAUGACGGCCUUCGGGUUGUAAACCUCUUUCAGCACGGAAGAAGCGAAAGUGACGGUACGUGCAGAAGAAGCGCCGGCUAACUACGUGCCAGCAGCCCG